rnacentral:rRNA from 1 species
GACGAAGGGGGCUAGCGUUGUUCGGAAUUACUGGGCGUAAAGCGCGUGUAGGCGGUUGCCAUAGUCAGGGGUGAAAUCCCGGGGCUCAACCUCGGAACUGCCUUUGAUACUGCGGGUCUUGAGUCCGAUAGAGGUGGGUGGAAUUCCUAGUGUAGAGGUGAAAUUCGUAGAUAUUAGGAAGAACACCGGUGGCGAAGGCGGCCCACUGGAUCGGUACUGACGCUGAGGUGCGAAAGCGUGGGGAGCAAACAGG